GGUGGGUGACGUCACAAUUUAGCCAAAAGGUUUUGGGGCACACUACUUGCUCGGUUUUGUUGUGCUAACAAACACCGUUGGCAUUAAUACUCAAUUUCCAGACGUUCCUCGGUCUGCUCCAGAGUGCUUCUUUUCUUUGGUUUUGCGCGUCAGAAAUGGUGUGGUUGUACUUGAAAAAACGAAUGUAUCUCAAAUACACUGCUUCUUUAGGCCAUGGAAGAAGCCCUUCCCGUUCAUCUCCCCGCGUUUCGUCCCAUGGCGUCUUCCUGUCAGCGUCGAGGUUGUUGAAAAAGGGCUCAGUUUCGGCAGCCGUCACCCCCGGGUCACCGAAAAGCCCGCCGGUCGGCCCGCCCAGACCUCCUGUGAUCACUUUUGGCCCCAAGCUCUGGCGCCUCUGAAUGAAGAUCAGCGUGCCGAUGAGGAGCCAGAGGAAGAAGUUCACCCACACAGCAGUCUUGAGAGGAAGUAUACCGGUGAUUAGCAGGUAGCCAUGAUGUACUUUCUAGUAACAGGGAUUGAACAUAAUGCUGACCUCAGCCUUUUGCAGUCCGGUGAAAAAGUUGUCUCCUUUGAUCGGACUGACCCAUUUCUUUGUCUGGGCCUCCUCGCAGCUUCAUAUGCAUCCGAUGUAAAUAUAUCAUUCAAUAUCCUUCAGCAAGCAAAAGGUGAGCGAGCAGACUACCUGGUCAUGUUGGGAACGCUGCGUGUCACAGAAUUGCAAAGCGUAUCUCGGCCGAUCUUGAGCACGCAGCCCGAGAUGAGGAGGAAGAAGAGAAAGAUGCCGCUCAUGCCCACCGUCACGUUCAUCCACACGACCUCCCUGCGUUCAGACAGAAAUAUAUAUAUAUGUAUGCGUAUGCGUGUGUGUGUAUUAUUUUUGAUUACCUGCGAGCGUCACCGUCGAUGCAGACGGCGUACAACCAGUACAGGGAGAGCGAGAAGCACAGCACGGCCACCAUUACCGAUAUGGCCGACACGAAGUAGCACAGGGAGGCUGAGCUGGUGUCCUGAACCCCAAGGACGCUUUCUGUCGCAUUGUAGCUCACAGCUCCAUACAGCAUGCACAGCCCUCCAAAAUUACCCUGGAAGAGAUUGUAAAUAUCCCUUUAAAACACCUGGCAUUUCAUCUAAAAGCACUGUUGACAACCUCCAUUAGAAUUGUCAUUCGUUAUGAUGUUUCGUGCGGUCCUAAUUAGUGAGAUGACAUCGUAUCACUUUUUUGCAUCACUCCAUUGGAUUCCUGUUUGACUUUUAUAUGAUGUCAUCUCCCCUUUUCAUCUGCUUUUUAAAAUGUCUUUGUCCUGUUAUUGCUUUUUAUUUUUAUUUUUUUUAUCCUAAUGUGUUUUAAUUUUUUUUUUUAAUUAUGAUAUUGCCUGGAUGUAUUUGUUUUGUUGUUGUAGCUGUAAAUAAAUGUGUAUGCUACGUGAUCAUGACGUUUGACAAAGCACUUGUUUUCAAUCGCGGCAAGUAAAAUAAAUGUAUUCUUAUUACUACGGUGA